rnacentral:rRNA from 1 species
CUGCAACUCGACUGCAUGAAGCUGGAAUCGCUAGUAAUCGCGAAUCAGAAUGUCGCGGUGAAUACGUUCCCGGGUCUUGUACACACCGCCCGUCACACCAUGGGAGCCGACAACGCCCGAAGUCAGUGACCUAACCGAGAGGGAGGAGCUGCCGAAGGCGGGGUUGGUAACUGGGGUGAAGUCGUAACAAGGUAAC